GUCAUAAAGAUGAUUCAUGGAUAUGUCUGUAACGAUGAAAAACUUGAAAAAAUUGUGCAUCAGAUUGUUAAAACGCAUCCUCUACAAAGUGGACUUCAGUGGGCCAGGUGGGCAUUCACUUCUAAAAUAAUACAAUGUUUGUCAAAAUAGAAAGAAAGAUGUGAUUAUGGGUGAGUGUGACUCUCUCAUAAUUUUUUUGAAUAAAAAUAAAAGGUAAAAUUAUAUUCUCAAAGACUCUAAAAUGACACAUGAUUUGUUCAUGCUUUACAAAUCAGGGUUUCUCAAAGGUGAGGACAGGGCUUUUGAAAAUUCUACAUUGAUUUCAGCUCCACCCGCCCAGUGAAAAGAUCUAUGUAUUAAUAUUAGAGAUGAUAAAACAAACUGCAUA
rnacentral:lncRNA from 1 species